ensembl:snRNA U1 U1 spliceosomal RNA
AUACUUACCUGGCCGGAGAUACCAUGAUCAUGAAGGUUGUUUUCCCAGAGCGAGGCUUAUUCGUUGCACUCUGGAUGUGCUGACCCCUGCGAUGUCCCCAAACGUGGAAAACUCAACUGCAUUAUUUGCGGUAGUGGGGGACUGUGUGUGCACUUUCUCCUU